rfam:Corynebacterium camporealensis strain DSM 44610, complete genome.
ACUCGGGCACGAUCUUCGACAGUAUUCGAGCGAAGAACCGACCCGUUACAAACCUGAGGGA